UUAUCUUCAGGGGGCUGUGUGAGGCCUCUGCUGUUUUUGAAAAUAACACGUUGCGUUGUGACUGCAGAGCCUCGUUCAACUGUGACUGCUAAACAAUCUUUGAGGAGCACAGAGGCUGAGUGGACUGGUUAUAUUAUGCCUUGAGAAUGAACGAGCUGAGAAGUUUUGAGCAGACUGAGGAGGGGAACAGACACUGUUCAGACAGAGAGCACCUGAGAACAGCUCUGCGACUAACAAGAUUAAAGCAGAUUGGAGCUUGACAAGCAACAGAAACCGUGAAGCCUCAUUUCUCUACGCAAAUUUCACCUUGGAAAAAUAAAAUGGAAGCCGUUGCUGUUGCAGUUAAAUUGAACACUCUUUCAGUAUAUGGAAGCCUGCAGUUUUAUUACACAAAAUCCUACGCUCUGGAUUUUUUAGAUGGAAAAAAAUUGGAUGAAAUGUUUUCAAAGAAAUGGUUUAAUGCAGCCCUAGAGAUUGCCUGUCAGUAUUCACAUGCUGUCACUUCAUUAUUUUAUGAUUUUGGCCAUGGUAGUAAAAGCCACUCUGUAUCAAAAAGAUAGGUCCAAUUUCAGUUAUUUUGAUUUUUUUGCCAGCACAUUUCCAAAUGUCAAGGAUUUAAGAUUUCACAAUUAAACCAGCUUCUUUAUUUUAAACACAUUUUUUGUAUUUUUGAGUAUCAUAGCGAGGUUUCAGUGAACAAAGGGAAUAUAUGCAUGCUUCCGUCAUUCAAGAAGAAAUGAAAGAAACAUUAAUCAUGGGGUUGCUAAAAUAAAUAUCACGUUAUUUUCCUUUUAAGAAGCACCCACCUUAGCGCACACACAUCCAAGUUUGAAGCCAUGUUUUUACAACACAGAGAUUCUUCUUUGUUGUUCACCCCACCAAAAUA